CAUGAUGUAGACACAUAAUUUUGUCCCUCUCCGAAAGCACUCUUACUAUUUUACCCUCAUCUUAAUGUGUGCCCUCACCCGUGUGAUAACCCCUUCACAAAAAGACAAAAAUAACAAUUCCUAACUAAUUUUAUCUUAUUCUAAAAACCCCUCCCUAUUAAAAAUAACACAUCACCAUCACUACCCUAACUACCCAUGUGAUCCCCCCC
rnacentral:lncRNA from 1 species